rnacentral:rRNA from 1 species
UACAGAGGUCCCAAGCGUUGUUCGGAUUCACUGGGCGUAAAGGGUGUGUAGGUGGCGCCGUAAGUCGGGUGUGAAAUUUCGGAGCUUAACUCCGAAACUGCAUUCGAUACUGCCGUGCUUGAGGACUGGAGAGGAGACUGGAAUUUACGGUGUAGCGGUGAAAUGCGUAGAUAUCGUAAGGAAGACCAGUGGCGAAGGCGGGUCUCUGGACAGUUCCUGACGCUGAGGCACGAAGGUCAGGGGAGCAAACGGG